rnacentral:rRNA from 1 species
UACGAAGGGUGCAAACGUUGCUCGGAAUCAUUGGGCGUAAAGCGCACGUAGGCGGCUUCGCAAGUCGGAUGUGAAAUACCUAGGCUCAACCAAGGACGUGCAUCCGAAACUGCGAGGCUUGAGUACAGAAGAGGAUCGCGGAAUUCCCGGUGUAGAGGUGAAAUUCGUAGAUAUCGGGAGGAACACCAGUGGCGAAGGCGGCGACCUGGGUAGAUACUGACGCUGAGGUGCGAAAGCGUGGGGAGCAAACAGG